CAGCAGCCACGGUAAUACAGAGGGUGCGAGCGUUAAUCGGAUUUACUGGGCGUAAAGCGUGCGUAGGCGGCUAAUUGAGUCGGAUGUGAAAUCCACGAGCUUAACUUGGGAAUUGCAUUCGAUACUGGUUAGCUAGAGUGUGGGAGAGGAUGGUAGAAUUCCAGGUGUAGCGGUGAAAUGCGUAGAGAUCUGGAGGAAUACCGAUGGCGAAGGCAGCCAUCUGGCCUAACACUGACGCUGAGGUACGAAAGCAUGGGGAGCAAACAGGAUUAGAUACCCCUGUAGUCCCUGUCUCUUAUAC
rnacentral:rRNA from 1 species